UUUCCGUAGGUGAACCUGCGGAAGGAUCAUUAACGAGUAAAGUCCGUCUGACCUUUCUUAUCCUAACACAUGUGAAAAUUCAUUUUUGUUUUGGGAAUUUAAUUAUUCCCAACAAUCAACGCCACUAAGUUGUCUUUUGUAUGAAUGAUUAUUUAAAAAUCACAACUUUCAACAACGGAUCUCUUGGUUCUC
rnacentral:misc_RNA from 1 species